rnacentral:snRNA from 1 species
GUCCCUUCGGGGACAUCUGAUAAAAUUGGAACGAUACAGAUAAGAUUAGCAUGGCCCCUGCGCAAGGAUGACACGCACAAAUCGAGUAACUAGUAAUAAGAGA